AACGCAUAUUGCGCCUUCUGGUAUUCCGGAAGGCAUGCUUGUUUGAGUAUCAGUAACAACCUCAGCUCCUAAUUUCCUCUUUGGAGGGAAAAAAGGGAGUUGGAUUUGAGCGUUUCCAACAAACUCUUUUGCGGAGGAAGGAGGAUCGCUUGAAAUUGAGGUUCGGCCAGACGGUUAAUUCCCUGGGCUAAAAGCAUUUCAUACUUAAUCCCGUCAAACGGAUUAUUUCCUUUGCUGCAGCCAACUAAACAGGUAAUCGUCAGUGUCCGACUGAUGCAGGAAAAAGGUUGGGAAAGGAAGAAGACUUUUGUCUGACGCCUUCUCUUCUUUAAAACUCGAUCUCAAAUCAAGUAAGACUACCCGCUGAACUUAA
rnacentral:misc_RNA from 1 species